CCUACGGGUGGCAGCAGUGGGGAAUAUUGGACAAUGGGGGCAACCCUGAUCCAGCCAUGCCGCGUGUGUGAAGAAGGCCCUCGGGUUGUAAAGCACUUUCAGUGAGGAAGAACGCCUGGUGGUUAAUACCCAUCAGGAAAGACAGCACUCACAGAAGAAGCACCGGCUAACUCCGUGCCAGCAGCCGCGGUAAUACGGAGGGUGCGAGCGUUAAUCGGAAUUACUGGGCGUAAAGCGCGCGUAGGUGGCUUGAUAAGCCGGUUGUGAAAGCCCCGGGCUCAACCUGGGAACGGCAUCCGGAACUGUCAAGCUAGAGUGCAGGAGAGGAAGGUAGAAUUCACGGUGUAGCGGUGAAAUGCGUAGAGAUCGGGAGGAAUACCAGUGGCGAAGGCGGCCUUCUGGACUGACACUGACACUGAGGUGCGAAAGCGUGGGUAGCAAACAGGAUUAGAUACCCGAGUAGUC
rnacentral:rRNA from 1 species